UACGAAGGGGGCUAGCGUUGCUCGGAAUCACUGGGCGUAAAGGGUGCGUAGGCGGGUCUUUAAGUCAGGGAUGAAAUCCUGGAGCUCAACUCCAGAACUGCCUUUGAUACUGAGGAUCUUGAGUUCGGGAGAGGUGAGUGGAACUGCGAGUGUAGAGGUGAAAUUCGUAGAUAUUCGCAAGAACACCAGUGGCGAAGGCGGCUCACUGGCCCGAUACUGACGCUGAGGCACGAAAGCGUGGGGAGCAAACAGG
rnacentral:rRNA from 1 species